CUAUAAGCGAUGAAGUAGUUCAGUAGCUUUUCGACCAAUUUUAAAGAAACCUGAUGGCCGCUGUAAAUCAGGAAUUGUCGAUGAGUGAAGUACGCUAUGGAGCUGUCAACGAUUCAUCUCGUUAACGAUGAUUAAGCGAUUAUCUACUAUAUAUAGUAGAUAAUAACUUGGGUGGUAACGCGGAAAUUAAUUCGUCCCUAAU
rnacentral:ncRNA from 2 species